rnacentral:rRNA from 1 species
CAGCAGCCGCGGUAAUACCAGCAGCCCAAGUGGUGGUCGCGAUUAUUGGGCCUAAAGCGCUCGUAGCCGGGCCGGUAAGUCCCUUGUGAAAUCGGACGGCCUAACCGUUCGGCGUGCAAGGGAUACUGUCGGUCUUGAGGCCGGGAGACGUCCGAGGUACUCCGGGGGUAGCGGCGAAAUGUUCUGAUCCUCGGGGGACCACCGGUGGCGAAGGCGUUCGACGAGAACGGGCCUGACGGUGAGGGGCGAAGGCUAGGGGAGCAAACGGGAUUAGAUACCCGGGUAGUCCCUGUCUCUUAUA